ensembl:misc_RNA Metazoa_SRP Metazoan signal recognition particle RNA
GCCAGGCGUGGUGGUGCAUGCCUGUAGUCCCAGCUACUUAGGAGGCUGAGAUGGGAGGACCUCUUGAGCCCAGGAGGUCGAGGCUGCAGUGAGCCACUGCACUCCAGCCUGGGCAACAGAGAGAGACCCUGACUCAA